rnacentral:rRNA from 1 species
CCCUUAGAUGUUCUGGGCCGCACGCGUGCUACACUGAUGCAUUCAACGAGUCUAAAACCUGCUCUGAUAGGGGUGGGUAAUCUUUUGAAUGUGCAUCGUGAUUGGGAUAGAUGAUUGCAAUUUUUCAUCUUCAACGAGGAAUGCCUAGUAAACGCAAGUCAUCAGCUUGCAUUGAUUACGUCCCUGCCCUUUGUACACACCGCCCGUCGCUCCUACCGAUUGAAUGAUCCGAUGAAUAUCAUGGAUUGAGGAUGCAAGCAGGUUCGCCUGUCUUCAUCUUCGAGAAGUGAAGUAAAUCUUAUCAUUUAGAGGAAGGAGAAGUCGUAACA